UACGUAGGGUGCAAGCGUUGUCCGGAAUUAUUGGGCGUAAAGAGCUUGUAGGUGGUUUGUCGCGUUGUUCGUGAAAUCUCACGGCUUAACUGUGAGCGUGCGGGCGAUACGGGCAGACUAGAGUACUGCAGGGGAGACUGGAAUUCCUGGUGUAGCGGUGGAAUGCGCAGAUAUCAGGAGGAACACCGGUGGCGAAGGCGGGUCUCUGGGCAGUAACUGACGCUGAGAGACGAAAGCUAGGGGAGCGAAUGGG
rnacentral:rRNA from 1 species